UUAAGCGACUAAGCGUACACGGUGGAUGCCCUGGCAGUCAGAGGCGAUGAAGGACGUGCUAAUCUGCGAAAAGCGUCGGUAAGGUGAUAUGAACCGUUAUAACCGGCGAUGUCCGAAUGGGGAAACCCAGUGUGUUUCGACACACUAUCAUUAACUGAAUCCAUAGGUUAAUGAGGCGAACCGGGGGAACUGAAACAUCUAAGUACCCCGAGGAAAAGAAAUCAACCGAGAUUCCCCAGUAGCGGCGAGCGAACGGGGAGGAGCCCAGAGCCUGAAUCAGUGUGUGUGUUAGUGGAAGCGUCUGGAAAGGCGUGCGAUACAGGGUGACAGCCCCGUACACAAAAAUGCACAUGCUGUGAGCUCGAUGAGUAGGGCGGGACACGUGGUAUCCUGUCUGAAUAUGGGGGGACCAUCCUCCAAGGCUAAAUACUCCUGACUGACCGAUAGUGAACCAGUACCGUGAGGGAAAGGCGAAAAGAACCCCGGCGAGGGGAGUGAAAAAGAACCUGAAACCGUGUACGUACAAGCAGUGGGAGCCCUGAUUUAUCAGGGUGACUGCGUACCUUUUGUAUAAUGGGUCAGCGACUUAUAUUCUGUAGCAAGGUUAACCGAAUAGGGGAGCCGGAGGGAAACCGAGUCUUAACUGGGCGUUAAGUUGCAGGGUAUAGACCCGAAACCCGGUGAUCUAGCCAUGGGCAGGUUGAAGGUUGGGUAACACUAACUGGAGGACCGAACCGACUAAUGUUGAAAAAUUAGCGGAUGACUUGUGGCUGGGGGUGAAAGGCCAAUCAAACCGGGAGAUAGCUGGUUCUCCCCGAAAGCUAUUUAGGUAGCGCCUCGUGAAUUCAUCUCCGGGGGUAGAGCACUGUUUCGGCAAGGGGGUCAUCCCGACUUACCAACCCGAUGCAAACUGCGAAUACCGGAGAAUGUUAUCACGGGAGACACACGGCGGGUGCUAACGUCCGUCGUGAAGAGGGAAACAACCCAGACCGCCAGCUAAGGUCCCAAAGUCAUGGUUAAGUGGGAAACGAUGUGGGAAGGCCCAGACAGCCAGGAUGUUGGCUUAGAAGCAGCCAUCAUUUAAAGAAAGCGUAAUAGCUCACUGGUCGAGUCGGCCUGCGCGGAAGAUGUAACGGGGCUAAACCAUGCACCGAAGCUGCGGCAGCGACACUGUGUGUUGUUGGGUAGGGGAGCGUUCUGUAAGCCUGUGAAGGUGUGCUGUGAGGCAUGCUGGAGGUAUCAGAAGUGCGAAUGCUGACAUAAGUAACGAUAAAGCGGGUGAAAAGCCCGCUCGCCGGAAGACCAAGGGUUCCUGUCCAACGUUAAUCGGGGCAGGGUGAGUCGACCCCUAAGGCGAGGCCGAAAGGCGUAGUCGAUGGGAAACAGGUUAAUAUUCCUGUACUUGGUGUUACUGCGAAGGGGGGACGGAGAAGGCUAUGUUGGCCGGGCGACGGUUGUCCCGGUUUAAGCGUGUAGGCUGGUUUUCCAGGCAAAUCCGGAGAAUCAAGGCUGAGGCGUGAUGACGAGGCACUACGGUGCUGAAGCAACAAAUGCCCUGCUUCCAGGAAAAGCCUCUAAGCAUCAGGUAACAUCAAAUCGUACCCCAAACCGACACAGGUGGUCAGGUAGAGAAUACCAAGGCGCUUGAGAGAACUCGGGUGAAGGAACUAGGCAAAAUGGUGCCGUAACUUCGGGAGAAGGCACGCUGAUGGUAGGUGAAGCGACUUGCUCGUGGAGCUGAAAUCAGUCGAAGAUACCAGCUGGCUGCAACUGUUUAUUAAAAACACAGCACUGUGCAAACACGAAAGUGGACGUAUACGGUGUGACGCCUGCCCGGUGCCGGAAGGUUAAUUGAUGGGGUCAGCGCAAGCGAAGCUCUUGAUCGAAGCCCCGGUAAACGGCGGCCGUAACUAUAACGGUCCUAAGGUAGCGAAAUUCCUUGUCGGGUAAGUUCCGACCUGCACGAAUGGCGUAAUGAUGGCCAGGCUGUCUCCACCCGAGACUCAGUGAAAUUGAACUCGCUGUGAAGAUGCAGUGUACCCGCGGCAAGACGGAAAGACCCCGUGAACCUUUACUAUAGCUUGACACUGAACACUGGUCCUUGAUGUGUAGGAUAGGUGGGAGGCUUUGAAGUGUGGACGCCAGUCUGCAUGGAGCCGUCCUUGAAAUACCACCCUUUAAUGGCUGGUGUUCUAACGUGGGCCCGUAAUCCGGGUUGCGGACAGUGUCUGGUGGGUAGUUUGACUGGGGCGGUCUCCUCCUAAAGAGUAACGGAGGAGCACGAAGGUUGGCUAAUCCUGGUCGGACAUCAGGAGGUUAGUGCAAUGGCAUAAGCCAGCUUGACUGCGAGCGUGACGGCGCGAGCAGGUGCGAAAGCAGGUCAUAGUGAUCCGGUGGUUCUGAAUGGAAGGGCCAUCGCUCAACGGAUAAAAGGUACUCCGGGGAUAACAGGCUGAUACCGCCCAAGAGUUCAUAUCGACGGCGGUGUUUGGCACCUCGAUGUCGGCUCAUCACAUCCUGGGGCUGAAGUAGGUCCCAAGGGUAUGGCUGUUCGCCAUUUAAAGUGGUACGCGAGCUGGGUUUAGAACGUCGUGAGACAGUUCGGUCCCUAUCUGCCGUGGGCGCUGGAGAACUGAGGGGGGCUGCUCCUAGUACGAGAGGACCGGAGUGGACGCAUCACUGGUGUUCGGGUUGUCAUGCCAAUGGCACUGCCCGGUAGCUAAAUGCGGAAGAGAUAAGUGCUGAAAGCAUCUAAGCACGAAACUUGCCCCGAGAUGAGUUCUCCCUGAGACUUAGAGUCUCCUGAAGGAACGUUGAAGACGACGACGUUGAUAGGCCGGGUGUGUAAGCGCAGCGAUGCGUUGAGCUAACCGGUACUAAUGAACCGUGAGGCUUAACCUU
rnacentral:rRNA from 1 species